rnacentral:rRNA from 1 species
GACGAACGCUGGCGGCGUGCUUAACACAUGCAAGUCGAACGAGACGAUUGAAAGCUUGCUUUUGAAAGUCGAGUGGCAAACGGGUGAGUAACGCGUAGGCAACCUGCCUCUAGGAUGGGGACAACAGUCCGAAAGGACUGCUAAUACCGAAUGAUGUAUCAAUUCCGCAUGGAGUUGGUAUGAAAGAUGGCCUCUACUUGUAAGCUAUCACCUAGAGAUGGGCCUGCGUCUGAUUAGCUAGUGUGGGGCAACGGCCUACCAAGGCGACGAUCAGUAGCCGGUCUGAGAGGAUGAACGGCCACAUUGGAACUGAGACACGGUCCAGACUCCUACGGGAGGCAGCAGUGGGGAAUCUUCCGCAAUGGGCGAAAGCCUGACGGAGCAACGCCGCGUGAGUGAAGAAGGCCUCGGUCGUAAG